AGAGUUUGAUCAUGGCUCAGAUUGAACGCUGGCGGCAGGCCUAACACAUGCAAGUCGAACGGUAACAGGAAGAAGCUUGCUUCUUUGCUGACGAGUGGCGGACGGGUGAGUAAUGUCUGGGAAACUGCCUGAUGGAGGGGGAUAACUACUGGAAACGGUAGCUAAUACCGCAUAACGUCGCAAGACCAAAGAGGGGGACCUUCGGGCCUCUUGCCAUCGGAUGUGCCCAGAUGGGAUUAGCUAGUAGGUGGGGUAACGGCUCACCUAGGCGACGAUCCCUAGCUGGUCUGAGAGGAUGACCAGCCACACUGGAACUGAGACACGGUCCAGACUCCUAUGGGAGGCAGCAGUGGGGAAUAUUGCACAAUGGGCGCAAGCCUGAUGCAGCCAUGCCGCGUGUAUGAAGAAGGCCUUCGGGUUGUAAAGUACUUUCAGCGGGGAGGAAGGGAGUAAAGUUAAUACCUUUGCUCAUUGACGUUACCCGCAGAAGAAGCACCGGCUAACUCCGUGCCAGCAGCCGCGGUAUACGGAGGGUGCAAGCGUUAAUCGGAAUUACUGGGCGUAAAGCGCACGCAGGCGGUUUGUUAAGUCAGAUGUGAAAUCCCCGGGCUCAACCUGGGAACUGCAUCUGAUACUGGCAAGCUUGAGUCUCGUAGAGGGGGGUAGAAUUCCAGGUGUAUCGGUGAAAUGCGUAGAGAUCUGGAGGAAUACCGGCGGCGAAGGCGGCCCCCUGGACGAAGACUGACGCUCAGGUGCGAAAGCGUGGGGAGCAAACAGGAUUAGAUAUCCUGGUAGUCCACGCCGUAAACGAUGUCGACUUGGAGGUUGUGCCCUUGAGGCGUGGCUUCCGGAGCUAACGCGUUAAGUCGACCGCCUGGGGAGUACGGCCGCAAGGUUAAAACUCAAAUGAAUUGACGGGGGCCCGCACAAGCGGUGGAGCAUGUGGUUUAAUUCGAUGCAACGCGAAGAACCUUACCUGGUCUUGACAUCCACGGAAGUUUUCAGAGAUGAGAAUGUGCCUUCGGGAACCGUGAGACAGGUGCUGCAUGGCUGUCGUCAGCUCGUGUUGUGAAAUGUUGGGUUAAGUCCCGCAACGAGCGCAACCCUUAUCCUUUGUUGCCAGCGGUCCGGCCGGGAACUCAAAGGAGACUGCCAGUGAUAAACUGGAGGAAGGUGGGGAUGACGUCAAGUCAUCAUGGCCCUUACGACCAGGGCUACACACGUGCUACAAUGGCGCAUACAAAGAGAAGCGACCUCGCGAGAGCAAGCGGACCUCAUAAAGUGCGUCGUAGUCCGGAUUGGAGUCUGCAACUCGACUCCAUGAAGUCGGAAUCGCUAGUAAUCGUGGAUCAGAAUGCCACGGUGAAUACGUUCCCGGGCCUUGUACACACCGCCCGUCACACCAUGGGAGUGGGUUGCAAAAGAAGUAGGUAGCUUAACCUUCGGGAGGGCGCUUACCACUUUGUGAUUCAUGACUGGGGUGAAGUCGGAACAAGGUA
rnacentral:rRNA from 1 species